rnacentral:lncRNA from 1 species
GUGCCACGGGUACUAACGUUAGCUGUGUGGAUCCACUAAUGUGAUGUCAUGAAGGACAAGGCCGUCAUGCCUAACUAAGGGGGGACCCCUCAAAGUUUACAGUGGUGCCGUAGGUCUGGAACUUAGGGACUUAUACUAACGCCUCAUGCCUACAAAUGGGGGAGGCAAGUGCAUCAUGCCAAACUGACGAGGGAGACGCCAUCCCUUUAUUCACUCCG